rnacentral:rRNA from 1 species
UACGUAGGGGGCAAGCGUUAUCCGGAUUUACUGGGUGUAAAGGGGGCGCAGACGGCGAUGCAAGCCAGGAGUGAAAGCCCGGGGCUCAACCCCGGGACUGCAUUUGGAACUGUGUGGCUAGAGUGUCGGAGAGGCAGGCGGAAUUCCUAGUGUAGCGGUGAAAUGCGUAGAUAUUAGGAGGAACACCAGUGGCGAAGGCGGCCUGCUGGACGAUGACUGACGUUGAGGCUCGAAAGCGUGGGGAGCAAACAGG